GCAGAAUUACUCUCCUAAUUUCCCUCCGAACGAAUCCAGUUCAUCAUCGUCAUCGAUGGCAGCAGCUACAAAUUCCAUCCUCCUCAAACUCAAACCCAACAUAAAAACAAAAAUCUGCAACCCACUAUUUGGCUUUGCUCGCAGUAGCAGUAGUGCUUCACCCUCUAUCCCACACUUGUUCUCCGCAACAGCACUCCCAUAUGCAGAUGCUGAUUCUGAUUGUUCAAGCGAGAUUAAAGCCACCGCAGACGCAAACCCUAACUUAAUUCACCCCUCCGCCGACGUCCACCCUAACGCUGUCAUUGGCCACGGUGUUUCAGUUGGUCCAUUUUGCACAAUCGGAUCUUCAGUAAAGCUUGGAAAUGGAUGUCGAUUAUAUCCCGGUAGCCAUGUUUUCGGAGAUACUGAGAUUGGGGAUCACUGUCUUUUGAUGCCUGGUGCUGUGGUUGGUGAUCAUCUUCCUGGACGUACAGUUUUGGGAUGCAAUAAUGUUAUCGGUCACCAUGCUGUCAUCGGUGUCAAAUGCCAGGAUUUGAAAUACAAGCCAGGGGAUGAAUGUUUUCUUCACAUUGGAGACAAUAACGAGAUUAGAGAGCACACUUCAAUACACCGAUCUUCAAAAUCAAGUGAUAAAACGGUUAUUGGUGAUAACAAUCUUAUCAUGGGCUCCUGUCAUAUUGCUCAUGACUGCAAUAUUGGCAACAAUAACAUUUUUGCUAACAAUACUCUUCUAGCUGGCCAUGCUGUUGUAGAAGAUUACACUCACACUGCUGGAGCCAUUGUUGUUCAUCAAUUUUGCCAUAUUGGUUCCUUUUCUUUUGUUGGUGGUGGAUCUGUGGUUUCACAAGAUGUCCCAAAGUACACGAUGGUGGUUGGAGAAAGAGCUGAGCUUCGCGGUUUGAAUUUGGAAGGUCUUCGGCGUAAUGGAUUCACAGCCACAGAGAUUAAGAGUUUGAGAACAGCUUACAGAAACAUAUUCAUGCCUGUUGAUUCUAAUUCUACAAGUUUUGAAGAACGCAUUACCAAAGUGGAAGAGGACAAAGAACUGGGUAAGAUACCUGCUGUAUGUAGCAUGAUACAGUCUCUUCGUGAUUCUUUUGCUCAGAAUCGCCGUGGAAUAUGCAAGUUCAGAUAUUUCAGUGGCUCUUGAAUUCUUUUGGACCAAAAUGAGAUACAUAGCAAACGGUCUAAACACUGAAAUGUCCUCUUGAUUAACUACUGUUGUACUCUCAAGCCGGUAAAGACAUGAUUUUAGUAUGAAAAUAGAGAACCGUGUCAAGCUUCUUAAGGUAUAGAUAUAGUUGGCUAUAUGGACUUGAUUUUUGAAGUCUUGAAAGAUAGCUGUAGAUUUUAAAUGUACCAAGGAGAAGGUGCAGGCUCAGAAUAUUAGGCAGUAACACUGAAGAAUUUUGUGCAUUUUUUGAAGGAAACAUGUUUGUGAUUUAUUUCACACCACGAGGUAUUAUAAUCAUUUUGAGUGGUUAAUACUAUAAAGUUAAUGCAUUAUUUGAAGAAGCUCACUGAUUCUUCCUGGUUAA